UGUUACAUUACUUUCCUCACUCUUUCUAGCUCUAACAAAGGUGCCUUUAAACAACUCCAAAUCCUCCACACAACAUGUCACAUCUACUGUAUUUAACACAUGUAGAAAUAGAAAACAUGUGUAGAAAAUGAGGCUAGCGAUAGCAGGCUAGCUAAACAGACACAAUAGGAAAACUUUGGAAAUAGCAGGAGGGACAUUUCUUCUCAGGCUCACAGGCUAACCUCCCACCCACAAGCUAACACGUCUCAGAUCAGACUAUUAACUGAGUACAAAAAGACCAAACUGAUAUUAACCCUCCAUCAAAAUCUCAGUAAGACAAACAAGUCAACAACCAAAUUACUGAGAUAAGAGUCAUCCAGCUGCAUCUGUACCUUUCCUGUGUAAACUAUAACGUGUAGCCAAAUGUCAUCUGAAGGAUCAUUUGACAAACAGAUUGUUGGCUGAACUCCACGGAGAGCCUGGAAAACUUUGGCCAAAGAAAAUGAGAACAGAGAGAGACGAGGGUCUAUAAUUACUUGGAAUGGAAAUAGAGUCACUUUGUGUUAUUCCGAAUGGAUUAUUUAAAACAAAUGUGUCAGAAUGCCCAGUAAAAAUACGGUCCUCUUAGUUUCUCAUUUUGGUAUCUGAACUCUGUUAUUUGGCGGUCAGACAUGUAUAAAUGUUUAAGUUGCAGGGCCACAAAACUUGUCAACACAGUUUAGAGAAUUGUCCAUCUUCUAGCUUGUAAUGUGACCAAAUGUCCUCUUGUUCGCCACCUUUCAGGAUUCUUAAAAUGCUCACAAUUCAUUCCUGUUUCUCCAAUUAAUUAACUACCUAUAAGAGUUUUUAUUUUAUUGAUUCCUGUAGAUCAACUGUCUUCUUUUUCUGUUGGCCACCAGGAGAUUAGAGGUAUAGACUGCCUAUAGAAAAGUGUCUACUUUCUCAGGGACACUUCAGUAUGCAGAUUUUGGCUGGAAUGGAGGCUUGUAUCAGUUGAAUGAUUAUAAUCUGUCUGUCAUGGUUCUGUAACAGUCUGGCUCUGUGUUCUUAGCUGCCAUUAUCCACCAGUCCACCAGAUGCCCUCAGACUUUUCUUCCACGGUUUGCUGGCACUAAGGGGACAAGUUAAGAAGCUGGGUUGCUACAUGAUGUAAACUAUUUGUGCACUGACAGUUGUAGGUUACUACACACACAAGUGUUUUUGCAUUUGUUAUUUGGUUUUGGUCUGUUUUUCAGAGCAGUGUAGGUGAGAGUGAAUGCUUAUGUAUGGCUACUCUGACUGUGCUUAGAGCCUUGUUACACAUAUAUCACUACAAGCACCGUUAUCUGUCUCACUGUGUUUUCAGGGUUUUUGGUUUUCUGUUUGCUCUGUUUGUUUCCUCCUGUGUCACUGUGCUGCUUUUCCCUCCACACCUGCCCUGCAUCAGCUUCAUUAGCCUUGCCCUGUUCCCAGGAAUCCUUGCCAGUCUUCUGCCAAGUCACCUGUUCCCUAUUCCCUCAUUAGUUCUGUCUGUAUUUAAGUCCUGUUUUCAGUUCAGUCUUUGUUGGAUCC